rnacentral:lncRNA from 1 species
AAUGUGGGGAGCCAGGACUUUGAUCCCCACUAACUGGUAACAAAACCUCGUGAUAGAGCCCUGUCUUGUAAGAUGUAACCUCAUGUACCCUAGAACAGUUCUGGAGGCCGGAAGUCUGAAAGCAGUAUCAGUAGGUGGAAAUCAGGGUGCCCAGCUUCUGGUGGCUGUGACAUUCCUUGGCUUAAGGCUGAGCUCAUUGAUGAAGAAGUCUUGAGUUCAUCAUUUUUUCUUCUCUAAUAGCUGAGAUGGCAGUCAAUGAGAGUGACUGCAGAAAGUUUCAGAAGGACACAUGGGAAUCAUUUAACCAGGCCAAUAAAAUCAGCUAUUUAUACACUUCCCCCGGAAGACAUAGCCCUUGCUUCACUGUCUGAAGGAGAGAAAAUGCAAAAGGUCCAUCGAUAUAUACAUAUAAGAAUUUUUCCAUUAGAAUGCUACACAGUCAGUGGCCAAAAGCCUGUUGGAAAGAGUGUGGGCUUAGAUGACAUCAAGACAUACAGUUUUAGAACCUACUG